rnacentral:lncRNA from 1 species
UGUCUCCCUUCUUCUCUUCACCGAAGGGAAGAGCCGAGAGCCGCCCUUCUGCCCCACCGGCGAGAGAAAAAGAGAAGGGCUCCGGCCCGACUGCAGCCCCGGCCGAGGACCGGCGGCGGCUGCGGCCGAGAGCCGUCGAGCCCUUCCUCUGUUUCAUCUGAGAAAUAGGGAAGAAGGGAAAGAAGAGAUGCUAGCCUCCGGCCCCAUGGCGACUGCGGCCGAGGACCGGGGACACAUGCGGCCGAAGCCCGGCUUUUCUUCUUCCCCUCUAUUUCUUCCUUUCUUUUUUUUCCCUCUGUUAUGCCGAGUAGAUCGGGAGGAGAGAAGACAGGGAAGAAGUCAGGACACUGGCCAUACUGCAUAGUCCAUUUCACUUACUUUUUUUCUUCUGAAGAUAAGUGCUGAGUAUCUUUCAUCAUUGAAUACUGGUAUUGUUUUAAAUGCCUCAAUUAUUGGCCUCAAUCAAGGAAACCAAAGUCUUCUUCCCGUCGAGCCUCCUAGGCUCUCGAAGAUCAGAAAGAUUGAGUUGAAGACCGAAGCAAUUGUUUGGGUUAAAGAUGUGAAAAAACCCUUCGUUUUUCACAUCAGCUCCAAACUCCCGAAAUCCAAGCAAGGACUCUUACCUAGCUCCGGGAAGAAGCUGCGACCACCUGCUCCGGCGCCUCAGUUGAUGGUUCAGGAUGCCCUAUCCCAUAUUUCGUUUUUUUUUUGGGGGGGGGGGGAGGGGGGCCUGGGCUGAAGUCGGCUGGGCCUGCCAGCUUCAGUUUUUUUUGGGGCCUGUUCUCAGAUCUGUCUCUCAUCUACAUGGUUUCUUCUGGACAUCCUAAACCAGUUUGGACUCUAUUUAAAAAGAAUUUCCACCCAUCUCUCAUCUAUAUCUCCAACCCAUUGGACUCUAUUCAAAACUUAAAAAACAAACCGAACACAAUAGUGCUCUUUCUUUAAUUCAUAUGUUUUAUCUCUCUUAUCCCC